AUUGAACGCUGGCGGCAUGCCUUACACAUGCAAGUCGAACGGCAGCACGGGAGCAAUCCUGGUGGCGAGUGGCGAACGGGUGAGUAAUAUAUCGGAACGUGCCCAGUCGUGGGGGAUAACGUAGCGAAAGCUACGCUAAUACCGCAUACGAUCUAUGGAUGAAAGCGGGGGAUCGCAAGACCUCGCGCGAUUGGAGCGGCCGAUAUCAGAUUAGCUAGUUGGUGAGGUAAAGGCUCACCAAGGCGACGAUCUGUAGCUGGUCUGAGAGGACGACCAGCCACACUGGAACUGAGACACGGUCCAGACUCCUACGGGAGGCAGCAGUGGGGAAUUUUGGACAAUGGGCGCAAGCCUGAUCCAGCAAUGCCGCGUGCAGGAUGAAGGCCUUCGGGUUGUAAACUGCUUUUGUACGGAACGAAACGGUGAGCUCUAAUACAGUUUGCUAAUGACGGUACCGUAAGAAUAAGCACCGGCUAACUACGUGCCAGCCGCCGCCGUAA
rnacentral:rRNA from 1 species